GAUGAACGCUAGCGGCAGGCCUAACACACGCAAGUCGAGGGGUAACUAGAGUGAUAGCAAUAUUACUUUGGCUAGACCGGCGCACGGGUGCGUAACGCGUAUGCAACCUACCUUAUACUGGGGAAUAACUUCGAGAAAUCGGCGCUAAUACCCCAUAACAUUGCGAAGAGGCAUCUCUUUGCAAUUAAAGCUCCGGCGGUAUAAGAUGGGCAUGCGUCCAAUUAGCUAGUUGGUGAGGUAACUGCCCACCAAGGCUACGAUUGGUAGGGGUUUUAAGAGGAGGAUCCCCCACACUGGUACUGGGGCACGGACCAGACUCCUACGGGAGGCAGCAUGGAGGAAUAGUGGGCAAUGGAUGAAAGUCUGACGCAGCCAUGCCGCGUGCAGGAUGACGGCCCUAUGGGUUGUAAACUGCUUUUGUACGGGAAUAAACCCCUCUACGUGUAGGAGGCUGAAGGUACCGUAAGAAUAAGCACCGGCUAACUCCGUGCCAGCCGCCGACGUAA
rnacentral:rRNA from 1 species